GACGAACGCUGGCGGCGUGCCUAAUACAUGCAAGUAGAACGCACAGUUUAUACCGUAGCUUGCUACACCAUAGACUGUGAGUUGCGAACGGGUGAGUAACGCGUAGGUAACCUGCCUGGUAGCGGGGGAUAACUAUUGGAAACGAUAGCUAAUACCGCAUAAUAUUAAUUAUUGCAUGAUAAUUAAUUGAAAGGUGCAAUUGCACCACUACCAGAUGGACCUGCGUUGUAUUAGCUAGUAGGUGAGGUAACGGCUCACCUAGGCGACGAUACAUAGCCGACCUGAGAGGGUGAUCGGCCACACUGGGACUGAGACACGGCCCAGACUCCUACGGGAGGCAGCAGUAGGGAAUCUUCGGCAAUGGACGAAAGUCUGACCGAGCAACGCCGCGGGAGUGAAGAAGGGUGUCGGAUCGUAAAGCUCUGUUGUAAGAGAAGAACGGGUGUGAGAGUGGAAAGUUCACACUGUGACGGUAGCUUACCAGAAAGGGACGGCUAACUACGUG
rnacentral:rRNA from 1 species